UCAGCCUUCGAAUAACUAGAAGGUGCGAAUUAUUAUCAACACCGUCUGGUUCAGACAAAGGCUUACAUCAAUCGAUCGGAAUUAAUAUUAUUCCGUUUCCGAAUCUGUUUGAGGGAGUCGAACGCUUUUUCUUUCGUUCCUCUCCUAGAUAGCUUCGGACAUAU